GUCCAUGCCGUAAACGUUGGGCACUAGGUGUGGGGGACAUUCCACGUUUUCCGCGCCGUAGCUAACGCAUUAAGUGCCCCGCCUGGGGAGUACGGCCGCAAGGCUAAAAACUCAAAAGGAAUUGACGGGGGCCCGCACAAGCGGCGUAGCAUGCGGAUUAAUUCGAUGCAACGCGAAGAACCUUACCAAGGCUUGACAUGCAUGAGUAAGCCGGUGGAAACACCGGGCCUCCUUCGGGACUCAUGCACAGGUGCUGCAUGGCUGUCGU
rnacentral:rRNA from 1 species